rnacentral:rRNA from 1 species
AUUGAACGCUGGCGGCAGGCCUAACACAUGCAAGUCGAGCGGAUGAAGGGAGCUUGCUCCUGGAUUCAGCGGCGGACGGGUGAGUAAUGCCUAGGAAUCUGCCUGGUAGUGGGGGAUAACGUCCGGAAACGGGCGCUAAUACCGCAUACGUCCUGAGGGAGAAAGUGGGGGAUCUUCGGACCUCACGCUAUCAGAUGAGCCUAGGUCGGAUUAGCUAGUUGGUGGGGUAAAGGCCUACCAAGGCGACGAUCCGUAACUGGUCUGAGAGGAUGAUCAGUCACACUGGAAGUGAGACACGGUCCAGACUACUACGGGAGGCAGCAGUGGGGAAUAGUGGACAAUGGGCGAAAGCCUGAUCCAGCCAUGCCGCGUGUGUGAAGAAGGUCUUCGGAUUGUAAAGCACUUUAAGUUGGGAGGAAGGGCAGUAAGUUAAUACCUUGCUGUUUUGACGUUACCAACAGAAUAAGCACCGGCUAACUUCGUG